rnacentral:rRNA from 1 species
CGUAUAUUAAAGUUGUUGCAGUUAAAAAGCUCGUAGUUGAACUUUUGAUUACAGUCCAGGCUCCAUUUUGGAUGCUUGGUAAGUGAUCUUUCUCGGGUUGAGCUGAUGUGGCAUUAGGUUGUUGCAUUGGUGCUGCCCGUCUUUUACUGUGAAAAAAUUAGAGUGUUCAAAGCAGGCAGUUGCCACUGAAUAUAAUAGCAUGGGAUAAUAAAAAAGGACUUUGGUACUAUUUUAUUGGUUUGUGCACCAAGGUAAUGGUUAAUAGGGACAGUUGGGGG